rnacentral:rRNA from 1 species
CCGGGAAUUUUGGGCAAUGGGCGCAAGCCUGAUCCAGCCAUGCCGCGUGAGUGAAGAAGGCCUUCGGGUUGUAAAGCUCUUUUACCAGGGACGAUAAUGACGGUACCUGGAGAAUAAGCCCCGGCAAACUUCGUGCCAGCAGCCGCGGUAAUACGAAGGGGGCUAGCGUUGUUCGGAAUUACUGGGCGUAAAGCGCACGUAGGCGGAUUGUUAAGUCAGAGGUGAAAUCCCGGAGCUCAACUUCGGAACUGCCUUUGAUACUGGCAAUCUAGAGUCCGGAAGAGGUUAGUGGAAUUCCCAGUGUAGAGGUGAAAUUCGUAGAUAUUGGGAAGAACACCAGUGGCGAAGGCGGCUAACUGGUCCGGUACUGACGCUGAGGUGCGAAAGCGUGGGGAGCAAACAGGAUUAGAUACCCCAGUAGUCCCUGAGCGGGCUGGCAAGGCGCAU